CAAAAUAUAGCUAAGUAGAAUAGCAUUUCAUUUACGUUGAAAUAAGUUAUCGUGCAAAUCGAUUUAUUUUGA
rnacentral:tRNA from 1 species